GAGUACCUAUGUAUUCGAUUGCCAAGUGUUUAUUCGAGUUGUAUAAAAGAAAAUUUUAGCCGGCCUAUACUAUAGUGUUUUUCAAAAUCCAAAAGUUUUUGUUAUCCUUAAAAUAAGUUUAUCUUUACAACGUUCUGUUUCUAAUGAGAACGAAUUAAUCCCAAAUGAUUUUAUUAAUAAACACUCGUUUUAUAGAGUUGUUUUUAUAAAAAAAAAA